AAAUCCUUGGUGUGUCAUCGAGGAUAAGGUAAGGGAAAAUAAUGAUAUUACCUUACUAUUAGUGUCGUCCAAAACUCGUGCCAGAAGACUCGGUAAGGCGAGAGACGCAAACGUUAAUCAUCUUGAUCAGGCGUAAAGGGUGUGUAGGCUGCUUUAGCAUCUUAGAUGGAAAAAAAUAAAGCUAGAAUCUAAAGGAGGUUAAAACAAUGCCUCUUUUUUACAGGUGUACGAACCUUAGAUAAGAAGUAGAGUGUUAAAGGCGAAGGCUUUUUUCCAAUAAAGAUUGACGCUGAGAAACGAAGGAGAGGGCAGAAAAAAGGAUUAGAGACCCUUGUAUUCCUCUCUGUCAACGAUGAAUGGUAGUCAUGAGGUAGAAAUAACCUCGAGGCGAUGUUAACACGUAAAACCAUUCCGCCUUGUGAGUACGACUGCAAAGUUGAAAACAAAAAAAUUAGUCGGUUUCG
rnacentral:rRNA from 1 species